ACCCAUAUAGCUUAAGAGGAGAGAGUAAGGUCUUUCUAAUACCUUUGUUUUGGUUCGAAUCCAAAUAUGGGUC